rnacentral:tRNA from 1 species
GCCCCCGUAGCCCAAUGGGCAGAGGCAGACGACUUAAAAUCGUCGUAGUGUCGGUUCGAGUCCGACCGGGGGCACCG